CUGCCCCUAGCCACAAAAUUACAUUGGUGUGUGAGCUGUUGGCCUGAUGUCUACCCAUGUUCUUCUUUCUCCUGAUUUUCCUCACUCCCUUUCAUUUUUUCCCUGUUAUUUUCUCUUUUUCUCUGAAUUCCCAUCAUCUCAGUUUCACUCUCCUUCUCCUCUUCCUCUCCAUCAAUUUUAAUCUCUUUCUUUUGAUUUUAUUUUUUUGCAGGCUAAUGAGUUUAGGAGUAAGGGAAAGCUAUAAGAUAAGGUGAAUAGCUAAUUGAUGGUUAGUUGUGCGUGAAAAUUGAUUGGAAGUUUUCGAGAAAUGUCGACCUCUUGAUCGAUUUGCUUGCUUGAAUUCUGGUUGAGGCUGUUUGUGGGAUAUAUAGGGAGGUGAUUCUUAGGAAAUUGAAUUGGCCGUCCACCCCGGUUCGAUCCAUGGUUGGGAUGAUGUUGUUAAGGAGGCUGAGGACGAGGUGAAUAUAAAGAAGGAGCUGAAUCAAGAAUUUCCAAGGAGAAGGUUGUUGAGAAUGAAGAUGAGGAUGAGGAGGAUGAUGCCUUUGCAGCAUUCUUUUUGUUAGAAAACAGAUUAAAACACUAACCUGGUUGCUUUUAUGUGUUUGUUUACAUUUACAUGCUGCUGUUAGUAAUUUUGUAUGAUUGAUUUUGAAGCUCAUAGAUAUCAAAGUAUGUGUUUGUUGAA